rnacentral:snoRNA from 1 species
UCUGCCAGUGAUGACACUUGCCUUGCCCUCACUGAGAAUGCUGUUCGGUAAUGAGAGUGUGUUCUCAGUAUUCAUUUACUCUGGGGUAACUGGGACAGU